GAUGAACGCUGGCGGCGUGCCUAAUACAUGCAAGUCGAGCGAACGGACGAGAAGCUUGCUUCUCUGAUGUUAGCGGCGGACGGGUGAGUAACACGUGGAUAACCUACCUAUAAGACUGGGAUAACUUCGGGAAACCGGAGCUAAUACCGGAUAAUAUUUUGAACCGCAUGGUUCAAAAGUGAAAGACGGUCUUGCUGUCACUUAUAGAUGGAUCCGCGCUGCAUUAGCUAGUUGGUAAGGUAACGGCUUACCAAGGCAACGAUGCAUAGCCGACCUGAGAGGGUGAUCGGCCACACUGGAACUGAGACACGGUCCAGACUCCUACGGGAGGCAGCAGUAGGGAAUCUUCCGCAAUGGGCGAAAGCCUGACGGAGCAACGCCGCGUGAGUGAUGAAGGUCUUCGGAUCGUAAAACUCUGUUAUUAGGGAAGAACAUAUGUGUAAGUAACUGUGCACAUCUUGACGGUACCUAAUCAGAAAGCCACGGCUAACUACGUGCCAGCAGCCGCGGUAAUACGUAGGUGGCAAGCGUUAUCCGGAAUUAUUGGGCGUAAAGCGCGCGUAGGCGGUUUUUUAAGUCUGAUGUGAAAGCCCACGGCUCAACCGUGGAGGGUCAUUGGAAACUGGAAAACUUGAGUGCAGAAGAGGAAAGUGGAAUUCCAUGUGUAGCGGUGAAAUGCGCAGAGAUAUGGAGGAACACCAGUGGCGAAGGCGACUUUCUGGUCUGUAACUGACGCUGAUGUGCGAAAGCAUGGGGAUCAAACAGGAUUAGAUACCCUGGUAGUCCACGCCGUAAACGAUGAGUGCUAAGUGUUAGGGGGUUUCCGCCCCUUAGUGCUGCAGCUAACGCAUUAAGCACUCCGCCUGGGGAGUACGACCGCAAGGUUGAAACUCAAAGGAAUUGACGGGGGCCCGCACAAGCGGCGGAGCAUGUGGAUUAAUUCGAUGCAACGCGAAGAACCUUACCUGGGCUUGACAUACACCGGAUCGGGCUAGAGAUAGUCUUUCCCUUUGUGGCUGGUGUACAGGUGGUGCAUGGUUGUCGUCAGCUCGUGUCGUGAGAUGUUGGGUUAAGUCCCGCAACGAGCGCAACCCUUGUCUUAUGUUGCCAGCAUUUGGUUGGGGACUCAUGAGAGACUGCCGGGGUCAACUCGGAGGAAGGUGGGGAUGACGUCAAAUCAUCAUGCCCCUUAUGUCCAGGGCUUCACACAUGCUACAAUGGUCGGUACAACGCGCAGCGACACUGUGAGGUGGAGCGAAUCGCUGAAAGCCGGCCUUAGUUCGGAUUGGGGUCUGCAACUCGACCCCAUGAAGUCGGAGUCGCUAGUAAUCGCAGAUCAGCAACGCUGCGGUGAAUACGUUCCCGGGCCU
rnacentral:rRNA from 1 species